CCAGGGGUACAAUUCUUCGGAGAUAGAUUCCCGCGCACGGGAGCAGUAACGCGUAUGCAAUCUAGCCUUUCACAGAGGGAUAGCCCAUUAUUAAUUUGGAUUAAUACCUCAUAGUAUUAUAGAGUGGCAUCACUUUAUAAUUAAAGUCACAACGGUGAAAGAUGAGCAUGCGUCCCAUUAGCUAGUUGGUAAGGUAACGGCUUACCAAGGCAACGAUGGGUAGGGGUCCUGAGAGGGAGAUCCCCCACACUGGUACUGAGACACGGACCAGACUCCUACGGGAGGCAGCAGUGAGGAAUAUUUGGACAAUGGGCGCAAGCCUGAUCCAGCCAUGCCGCGUGCAGGAUGACGGUCCUAUGGAUUGUAAACUGCUUUUGUACGAGAAGAAACACUCCUAUGUAUAGGAGCUUGACGGUAUCGUAAGAAUAAGGAUCGGCUAACUCCGUGCCAGCAGCCGCGGUAAUACGGAGGAUCCAAGCGUUAUCCGGAAUCAUUUGGGUUUAAAGGGUCCAGUAGGCGGUUUAGUAAGUCAGUGGUGAAAGCCCAUCGCUCUACGGUGGAACGGCCAUUGAUACUGCUGAACUUGAA
rnacentral:rRNA from 1 species